AAGUCGUAACAAGGUUUCCGUAGGUGAACCUGCGGAAGGAUCAUUAACGAGUUUUGAAAGGGGUUGUCGCUGGCCUUUCACGAGGCAUGUGCACACCCUGCUCAUCCACUCUCAACCUCUGUGCACUUAUUGUAGGUCGGUGGAAGGCUCGCAAGAGUUGGAAGCCUGCUUAUGUUUUACUACAAACGCUUCAGUUAUAGAAUGUUUACUUGCGUAUAACGCAUUUAUAUACAACUUUCAGCAACGGAUCUCUUGGCUCUC
rnacentral:misc_RNA from 1 species